rnacentral:rRNA from 1 species
GACGAACGCUGGCGGCGUGCUUAACACAUGCAAGUCGAACGGAAAGGCCCUGCUUUUGUGGGGUGCUCGAGUGGCGAACGGGUGAGUAACACGUGAGUAACCUGCCCUUGACUUUGGGAUAACUUCAGGAAACUGGGGCUAAUACCGGAUAGGAGCUCCUGCUGCAUGGUGGGGGUUGGAAAGUUUCGGCGGUUGGGGAUGGACUCGCGGCUUAUCAGCUUGUUGGUGGGGUAGUGGCUUACCAAGGCUUUGACGGGUAGCCGGCCUGAGAGGGUGACCGGCCACCUUGGGACUGAGAUACGGCCCAGUCUCCUACGGGAGGCAGCAGUGGGGAAUAUUGCACAAUGGGCGGAAGCCUGAUGCAGCAACGCCGCGUGCGGGAUGACGGCCUUCGGGGUGUAAACCGCUUUCGCCUGUGACGAAGCGUGAGUGACGGUAAUGGGUAAAGAAGCACCGGCUAACUACGUG